AUCGAUGUAGCUCAACGGUCUCAACGGAAGAGCUCCCGAAAGGGAAGGUGGUGGUUCGAUUCUACCCAUCGAUA
rnacentral:tRNA from 1 species